rnacentral:misc_RNA from 1 species
AUGCGAUAAGUAAUGUGAAUUGCAGAAUUCAGUGAAUCAUCGAAUCUUUGAACGCACCUUGCGCCCUUUGGUAUUCCGAAGGGCAUGCCUGUUUGAGUGUCAUGAAACCUCACUCCACUUGGGUUUUUGCCUGAGUGGUAGUGUAUUGGGUGUUGCCUUGCCAAAGGCUCGCCUUAAAAGAAUAAGCACCUUGGAUGUAAUACGUUUCAUCCUUCUGGGUGGCUAAUAACCCCACAUAACUCAUGAUCUGGCCUCAAAUCAGGUAGGGCUACCCGCUGAACUUAA